AUUGAACGCUGGCGGCAUGCCUUACACAUGCAAGUCGAACGGCACGGGAGCAAUCCUGGUGGCGAGUGGCGAACGGGUGAGUAAUACAUCGGAACGUGCCCAGUCGUGGGGGAUAACUACGCGAAAGCGUAGCUAAUACCGCAUACGAUCUACGGAUGAAAGCGGGGGAUCGCAAGACCUCGCGCGAUUGGAGCGGCCGAUGGCAGAUUAGGUAGUUGGUGGGGUAAAGGCUCACCAAGCCGACGAUCUGUAGCUGGUCUGAGAGGACGAUCAGCCACACUGGGACUGAGACACGGCCCAGACUCCUACGGGAGGCAGCAGUGGGGAAUCUUGCGCAAUGGGCGAAAGCCUGACGCAGCAACGCCGCGUGCGGGAAGAAGGCCUUCGGGUUGUAAACCGCUUUCAGCAGGAACGAAAAUGACGGUACCUGCAGAAGAAGGUGCGGCCAACUACGUGC
rnacentral:rRNA from 1 species